rnacentral:rRNA from 1 species
AAGGAACGCCCGCUAGAUGCUUAACACAUGCAAGUCGAACGUUGUUUUCGGGGAGCUGGAAUGAAUGGAAGGAAAGGGGGCUCCCAUCCCGAGAGAGAUCGUCUCGCCCAGCUCUGGUAUAGUGCCUCCCGGGUUUUGGCGCUGGGAAUAGUUAAGAACAAAGUGGCGAACGGGUGCGUAAGGCGUGGGAAUCUGCCGAACAGUUCGGGCCAAAUCCUGAAUUAAGCUGACAAAGCGCUGUUUGAUGAGCCCACG